rnacentral:rRNA from 1 species
GUAAUGUCUGGGAAACUGCCUGAUGGAGGGGGAUAACUACUGGAAACGGUAGCUAAUACCGCAUAACGUCGCAAGACCAAAGAGGGGGACCUUCGGGCCUCUUGCCAUCAGAUGUGCCCAGAUGGGAUUAGCUUGUUGGUGGGGUAACGGCUCACCAAGGCGACGAUCCCUAGCUGGUCUGAGAGGAUGACCAGCCACACUGGAACUGAGACACGGUCCAG